GGUGGGGUACCGAAGCGGUCAAACGGGGCAGACUGUAAAUCUGUUGGCUUAGCCUUCGGAGGUUCGAAUCCUCCCCCCACCA
rnacentral:tRNA from 2 species